rnacentral:sRNA from 1 species
CUAGAAUGGCCUUGCUUCAGAGGCUUCACAGAAUCCCCCUCCACCACCGGAUGCUUGCCUCAACUUUGGGGCUUUCAGAAGUAGAAGCAUGUGGGGUUUCUUGGAAAUCUACUCUCUGGAGUCUCAAAACAAUUCAAAGAUGUUUAUUACAAUGUCAAAUGAUCUACUUUCCACAAACAUUUGUUGAGUGUCUUUCUCAGUGACCAGACUAACACUCCAGGAAGGCAGAUGCAGAGCAGAAGGCAGCCCUGGUAACGAGGUGUCCAAUACAGCCAAAUCUGUUCACAUUGACCUUCACAAUCUUGUCUAUGAGACGAGGCUGGCACUACAUGAGAAGAUGCAGCUGUCUCUGGAACAGGGAGGAGCAGAGAGCCGGAGAACGACUUUCUAAUAGGAAACGCAGGCUGAAGUGUUCCAGUCUCUCAUUCUAGUCUCAUUGGUGACUUCUGACCUUGCUCCACGACCAAGGGUGUGGAACCCACAGCAUGGAAAACCAACUGGGCUAGAUGAAAUAAACCCUUGAAAUCACCCUUGACCAUGUUCAAAGGGGAGGAAAAAAAAUCUCGGGAACGCAGGCGGUUCCAUGUCCACAAAGGUGUACACAGGUAUGCACGCCCAUGAGAUUUGUCUGUUAGGGUAUGAGUAUGUGACUGGGAAGGGAGAAGCAAGCUCCAGUCUCAUCCUGCACCUCAGCGACUCUGUUUCUUAUUCAUAGUCAGUCUGCCUUCCCACAGCCUUCCUGCUAGUAGCUGGCAGGCAUUCUCUUGAUUCAGAGAUGACAAGGCCAAUGAGACACAAAUAGGGUUAGCUCCCUGAGCCAGAGUAAAAUUACACACAGUUAGAAGCGAUUCAGAGAGCUGCAAACGCCACACGAUUUGCGGCAGGGCUGCCCAGGGGGCUCCUGUAGACCCACGUGUAGCAGGCAUUUCUGGUGUGAGUACUGUGUCAAUUACUGGACCAUUCACAUCUCAACUGAGGCAUGCAGUGAAGCUUAUGAUUUGCCUGCUACAUAAUCCAAGGUAGAAAGGAAAGAGGGUGGGCUUCAUCAGGGGCUAUCCUAUCUUUGUCCUUUGUUCUAGAAGGUAUUUGCAUACCUAAAGGGAAAUGGCCUCUUUAAUUUCUUUCCCUUCUCCUAAUCAGCUGAGGCCUAUUAAGAAGCGCUCUGUAUCCUGUAAUCAGACAAUUUAUACAGCAUGCACCCUAAGGCAACAGCUAUUAUAAACAAGCCAGAGAAAUCCUUUACAAUAAGUGAUCGGCAUGGGAAGACACCAUUCAUAAUUAAUUUUUUUUCUGUUUUUGUUGGCAGAUGGUCUGAGGCAUCCAAGCAUGGCCUAUUGCCUGAGUCUUUAUUCUGAAUAGAGCAGGACAGCCUUGGGAAAAUGUGUGCUGUUCAGCUAGCUCACUUGAAAAAAAUAAUGUGGCCCCUCCCCCUCAUCCUAUUGGUGUUCAAGGCUUGAAGAAAGCUUUAGGGAAGAGUGGCUGGUGGGUCACAUGGCCAUUCCUCAUAGUCCCUCCCCCGCCUUAUUAAUUAGAAGGUGUUGCAACCUUCCUGUUAGACUGAUUGCAUUAAGUGGCAAGCUGUCCAUUCCCACCAUUUACCGUGUGACUGUCACACUCUGAAGCAGGGCUCUAUGAGCGAGCCACUUGCUUUGGUUAGCCAGGGUGUAAUGAACAAAGUGACUCGUUACUUCUUCCUGUUUACUGCUACUUAGAGUCUUUUGCAGGAUAGCUUGCUGACUAUAGACAGAUACCCGUGAGCUCCUCCAUUCAUCUCAGCUGAGAUCUUUCUAGAAGGGUCAACAUCAGUCGCCUUCAGACAUGUGACCUAGGCGAGGUCAGCCAUGUCCACCCAGAUAGUGGAAGCCUCGAAGCCUUAGUUGCUAGAUACAGACCUACUAUUAAAUCCCCAAGUUCAGUGGCUUUAGAUAUACAGUAUUAGCAAUGAGUCCAACCCUGAGGUUAACAGAAAAUUCCUUUGUGGAGGAACAUGACCUAGAAACUCACAAACAAGCCUCAUACUGUGGGGAAUGAUGUGUCUUGCUGGCGUGGCUGUGCUAUCUGCUCUGAGGACAGUUGACAAUCUGGUGUGCAGGAGAGGAUCCACCUAUUACCUAAUAAUAAGGAAACAGAUCUGGAUGUGGUGCACAAAUGAGCAUGCAGCCAAACACUUCACAUAUACAACACACAUAAGUACAUCUUUUAAAGAAGAUACCUUUAAAGAGCAUAGCCCACUUCUGCCAAGACUUCUCUUUAUUCUUUGCCAUUUUCUCCAUGAGUCAGAGCUCUUUGAUGAUACCUGUUGAUUUUUUUUCUUCUUUGUUCUUUUAUUUGUUUGUUUGUUCGGAGACAAGAUUUAUCUGUGUAACUCUCCUUGAUGACCUGGAACUCACCUUCUGGACCAGUCCGGCCACAAACUCACGGAGAUCCACCUGCCUCUUCCCCCAAGUCCUGGGAUUCAAGGCAUGUGCCACCAUGACUGGAUCUCUCCUUUAUUCUUAAACAGUCAAACUCUGAACAUUUUUGUUGAGAGCUGACAAGCAUUCCCAGUAGGCCUUCAUCAUUAUUUUCUUUGGCUUCAUGGAAUCCUUUGUAAGGCAUACAAAUUAGCCCUGCAUGGAACUCUGGUUUUAGCCAAAUACUCUGAAUAACUCCUAGCUGGUAGGAAGCUGUCAUUGUUGGUGUUAAGAGGAAGGGAUAUCUGACCAGAGAUGUGACUCAUUACUUAGAACAUAAUUUCGAUGCUGGAUUGGGGUGCUAAUGUGUUCAGUCAGGGUUGUCUAUGCACCAGCCAGUAAUUCUAUUGUAUGAAAUUCCUCCCUCCUUCAAGUUUAAGGAGAUCACACCAGACAUAUAAAGCUAGCAUGGUAAGAAAAUUUGGACUAGAGGAACUGACAUGCAUUUUUAUUAAUCAUUGAUUGCAUUGUUGAGCAUUUACCAAGAUGAUGCUUUAUUCCCCUCUUCAUCAAAGUUAGCUUAGGUUUCAUGAGCAGCUUGAGUGCUGGAUGUGGACGAGGAAGGCACAAGGUGAAGAAUCAGUUUCACUCAAAUUUUGGGCCUAGAUAUUAGGUAAGAGACUAAUUUUGAGAGACUGAGGUAAGAGGAUUGUGAGUUUAAGGCCACCACAGAAGCCUGGGCAACACAAGUUCAAGAUGGACCUGGACUACUGUUAUGGAUUAGAUGUGAAAUGUUCCCCUAGAUGGUUCAUAUAUUGAUGGUUUGGUCCCUGGCAUAAUGUACUGAGAUAGGGAUUGGGGGAAGCAACUGGUUCAUGACCUUCUCAGUGAAUUGAUCCAUUGAUAGAUCCGUAAUUGAGUAGACCAUUGGAUGGGGAUACUGUGGAAAGUGGAGCCUAGUUGGAGGAAGUAAGUCAUUGAGGAUGUGGCUUUGUGAUGGCAUAAUGUUAUUGUAUACUUGUAAAGAUUACCCUUGUAUUAUUCAAAUGCUGAUUUCUCUGCCCCCUUACCUGGUUGCAAUCAAAGCACAGUAUUGUAAUGUUUAUUCUAAGUAUCUCCUGUCUGAAUAUUGUGUAAACAUUGCUCCCCACUUAUUCUCUGACUUGUCAAUAAAGGCAGAUCGGCCAAUGGCUGAGCAGAAGAGAGAAUAGGGCUGGACUUUGGAUAACAGCCAGGAAAAGGGUAGAAAGAGUAAGAGAGGAUUCACCAUGAGAAAAGGAUGUCAGGGGGCAGGGUGCUAUGGGAAAACAUUGGAGCAGAGAGAGCUAGACCAAUACUAAAAUGCAAGUAUCUUGGAGAUUUUGGCUAGUCGGUAGAUAGAUUAGUUUAGAGGAAUGGAAUAGAUAACUGCUCAGCUACUGUGCUGUAGUUUUAUUGAAUAAAUCUUAUAGCUUGUCUCAUUUAUCUGGGAACUAUCCAGACUAGAAAAGAGUAUUACUUUUAAAAAUGCAUUUACAGCUUUGAAGAGUAUGUCUCACCCCUGCCAUCUUCUUCUCUGCCUCUCUACUUCCUAGUCUCCGGGAGGCAAGAACCCCUGUCUGUCACGUGCUGCAGGCUGCUAUGAUGCUGUGCUCCACCGCAGCUAGCAGCCCAUGGACUGAAACCUUGAAACCAUGAGCCAAAAUAUACUUUCUUCCUUCAAGUUGAUUAGCUCAGGUA